rnacentral:rRNA from 1 species
UUGCAUAUCAAUAAGCGGAGGAAAAGAAACCAACCGGGAUUGCCUUAGUAACGGCGAGUGAAGCGGCAAAAGCUCAAAUUUGAAAUCUGGUACCUUCGGUGCCCGAGUUGUAAUUUGGAGAGGGCAACUUUGGGGCCGUUCCUUGUCUAUGUUCCUUGGAACAGGACGUCAUAGAGGGUGAGAAUCCCGUGUGGCGAGGAGUGCGGUUCUUUGUAAAGUGCCUUCGAAGAGUCGAGUUGUUUGGGAAUGCAGCUCUAAGUGGGUGGUAAAUUCCAUCUAAAGCUAAAUAUUGGCGAGAGACCGAUAGCGAACAAGUACAGUGAUGGAAAGAUGAAAAGCACUUUGAAAAGAGAGUGAAAAAGUACGUGAAAUUGUUGAAAGGGAAGGGC